GACGAACGCUGGCGGCGUGCUUAACACAUGCAAGUCGAACGGAAAGGCCCUGCUUUUGUGGGGUGCUCGAGUGGCGAACUGGUGAGUAACACGUGAGUAACCUGCCCUUGACUUUGGGAUAACUUCAUGAAACUGGGGCUAAUACCGGAUAGGAUCUCCUGCUGCAUGGUGGGGGUUGGAAAGUUUCGGCGGUUGGGGAUGGACUCGCGGCUUAUCAGCUUGUUGGUGGGGUAGUGGCUUACCAAGGCUUUGACGGGUAGCCGGCCUGCGCGGGUGACCGGCCACAUUGGGACUGAGAUACGGCCCAGACUCCUACGGGAGGCAGCAGUGGGGAAUAUUGCAUAAUGGGCGGAAGCCUGAUGCAGCAAAGCCGCGUGCGGGAUGACGGCCUUCGGGUUGUAAACCGCUUUCGCCUGUGACGAAGCGUGAGUGACGGUAAUGGGUAAAGAAGCACCGGCUAACUACGUG
rnacentral:rRNA from 1 species